rnacentral:tRNA from 1 species
AGUUUUAUAGUUUAAACAAAAUAUUAAAUUGCAAAUUUAAGGAUAAAAUAUAAUUUUUAAAACUU